rnacentral:rRNA from 1 species
UACGGAGGGUGCAAGCGUUACUCGGAAUCACUGGGCGUAAAGGGCGCGUAGGCGGCCUAGCAAGUCUGGUGUGAAAGCCCAGGGCUCAACCCUGGAAGGGCACUGGAAACUGUUAGGCUUGAGUUCGGGAGAGGCGGGGGGAAUUCCCGGUGUAGCGGUGAAAUGCGUAGAUAUCAGGAGGAAUACCGGUGGCGAAGGCGCCCCUCUGGACGGAAACUGACGCUGAGGCGCGAAAGCGUGGGGAGCGAACAGG